AUUGUCCAGGCUGGAUUCAAAUUCCUGGCCUUAUGUGAUCCUCCUGCCUCAAUUUUCCCAGUGGCUGAGAAUACAGCAGGAAGCACUGUGCCCACUUCAAGGAUCUUUUUUUACCCUCCCAGAAGCUGUGAGCCUUACGAAAUGAGCAACACCAGUAUCAAGAUGGCAGAAAGAAUCUGUAAGAACCUGGCACAAUCCUGACUGAAUUCCUGGAAAAGAAUCUGGCAGGUGGAUGAGAG
rnacentral:lncRNA from 1 species